rfam:Triticum aestivum genome assembly, contig: Triticum_aestivum_CS42_TGACv1_scaffold_130084_2BL
UAAAUACUCCCUCCGUCCCGAAUUACUUGUCGCAGAUAUGUAUGUAUCUGGAUGUAUUUUAGUUCUAGAUACAUCCAUUUCUGCGACGAGUAAUUUGGGACGGAGGGAGUAUUUU